rnacentral:rRNA from 1 species
UACGUAGGGUGCAAGCGUUGUCCGGAAUUAUUGGGCGUAAAGAGCUCGUAGGCGGUCUGUCGCGUCUGCUGUGAAAACUCGGGGCUUAACCCCGGGCCUGCAGUGGGUACGGGCAGACUAGAGUGCGGUAGGGGAGACUGGAAUUCCGUGGUGUAGCGGGUGAAAUGCGCAGAUAUCAGGAAGAACACCCGUGGCUAAGGCGGCUCUCUAGUACGGUACUGGACGCUGAGACGCGAAAGCGUGGGGAGGCGAACAGGAUUAGAUACCGAG